rnacentral:tRNA from 1 species
GCGAAAGUGCUGAUAUAGCAAGGAUUCAAGGGCUUUGCUACUAACACAGAAGCUUCCCAAGCUUCCGUCGCGAGUUCGAUUCUCGUCACCCGCU